rnacentral:rRNA from 1 species
UGCAAGUCGCACGAAGGUUUCGGCCUUAGUGGCGGACGGGUGAGUAACGCGUAGGAAUCUAUCCGUGGGUGGGGGAUAACUCUGGGAAACUGGAGCUAAUACCGCAUGAUACCUGAGGGUCAAAGGCGCAAGUCGCCUGUGGAGGAGCCUGCGUUCGAUUAGCUUGUUGGUGGGGUAAUGGCCUACCAAGGCGAUGAUCGAUAGCUGGUCUGAGAGGAUGAUCAGCCACACUGGGACUGAGACACGGCCCAGACUCCUACGGGAGGCAGCAGUGGGGAAUAUUGGACAAUGGGGGCAACCCUGAUCCAGCAAUGCCGCGUGUGUGAAGAAGGUUUUCGGAUUGUAAAGCACUUUCGGCGGGGACGAUGAUGACGGUACCCGCAGAAGAAGCCCCGGCUAACUUC